UUUUGUUCAUAAAAAUAUCUUUAAUCUCUUCAGUUCAGUAUCUACAAAUCAUACAGAAAUUUACUCACUGUUCGAAAACCUUUAGAGAUUUUUGAGGCGUAGAGAGCAGAAGAAUCAAGCACCCAUAGUUUGUGAAAUUUUCGAUAAAUGAAGGCAGAAGUGAAAGAUUUUCAACGUAAACCUUUAGAGUCGUCUGAGCUCUUCAAUCACAACAGUUCCUGGAUUAAUACACGUUAAUUAUAGGCUACUGUAUUCCUCUAAUACUGCAGUUUUCAGGUAAAAUAAAAGGAUAAAAGUUCAGACUCAAGUGUCGCUCCCUUUAACAAACAAAAACAACCACUGUGAUGAUUUAAAGUACGCACUUGUUGGGACGCAAAACUUUACAUGUCCCGAAAACUUCAAACAGAGAGUAUAAAGCAGCAAAGCAUUAUGGUUCAACCAAGAACGAAAAUGUAGUUUUGACACCAAGAGUUUGAGUCAGUCGUACUGAAAUUAUAAUCCAGAAACUUCUAAAAGCACCUCCUGGAUUUGGCGUGGAGACACGUCGACUCAAGUCUAAGAUAUAUGAAAUAGUGUCGGCAGAAAGUCACAAAAGACUCGCAAAGAAUCGAGAAACAAAAUCAAGAGUUUCUGGGAUUUUUUGGACGGCUGGAUCAGAUUCCCGCUCUUCCUACAUGAGCUGCCCAUGGAAAAGGCACUUGAACGCACCGUUGGCCCGGUGGAAUCGUGGACGUUUUGGUGUAAUGUAUCCGGAAAGGUUCUGUUGUUUUAGGCGAACUAAGAGGCGGCAUGGCCUCGGUGUUCCUGAUGGCUUCACUCGGACAUUGAGGGUGUGUUCGGCAGCGAAUAUCUCAAAAAAGGUGGGAAAACGUUUCAAGAGGAAGCUCAACCAUCGAGCCCCGACUGGUUUGAACAAAUGGAAGAGUCGUUUUAUUGCUUUACGAGAGCAAAUUCUGAGGUGGAUAAAAAAGUUAAAUUCAGGGUCUUUUUUUUUUUUUACCCAUUUAGCACCGACAUAUCUAUGUUAGAUAGUUUAUGGGUGGUACAGGCCGGUUUUUAGGGUUAGGGUUAUCUGUUACCUGGUGUUCCACAAGGCUCAAUACUCGGACUUUUAGUGUUUCAAAUUCAAUCAAAAAAUAAACUAGAAAAGCACUCGGAGAGCGCAGACCUCCGCCAAGCAGCUCAUGUCCCCUCUUAAACAAGAAAUGCCCUGACCGGGAUUCGAACCCAGGACCUUCUGGCUGUGAGGCGACAAUGCUAACCACUACACCACUGUUCCGCCUACCUACACCACUGUGCCGCCCAUUGGUUUAGAAUUUUGUCCGGAUCACCACCAAAAUGUAAUGGGAUCCUCCUGGGGCUGAGACGCACCUCUGGUGAAAAUUUCAGGUCAAUCCGUCUGGAACUUUCUCUGUAAAACCAACGCUACCGAAAACAUAAGCUCCUUGGCGGAGGUAAAUAUUUAGACUUCAAUAUAAAAGUUUGUAGUAUCGUGAAUUUUGAAGAAACUGUUUUCGACGUACAGAACAGUUUUUCGGUGAUCAGCGAAGUUCGAUGGACGUUUGAUUUUUUACGAAACAAGAAAAUUCGUUAAAGGACGAAAUAUUUGAGAUAAGAAUCGAUGGAUUAUCAUGCUGGAGGACUUCAGACCAGCCUUAACUUAUUUUAAUUAGGCCGCAAACCGUUAACCCAAAAACUGAAUAACGUACACUUAUUUUUCUAUCUAUGUAUAAAGUUCGGAUUCGUUUACAGUCACUGGUAAAACGAAACUUCGGCUCCAGUUUUUGGGAAAACUUUUUUAAUUGUGAUUAGAAACUGGUCUUCACCGACCCCAGAGGAGGUCAGGAGGUUUGGACGGAGGUUUCACGUCAAAGAAAAGUUCUUGCUGGUGCUUAAAAACUUUAUCCGGAUCAUUGCGGACUGAAAAACUCGUCAUUAUCUUUUUAGACCUUCCUGGACUCUUGAGGUUACGAGGAGCGCUGCGGGCCGACAUCAGUGUGGUCGAAUGAGGCGUUUUCUCUCCGUUGACGAAUCAUCAUCGCAGUCCUGAAAGUCUUUCUCGGGAAUAACGAGGUCGGAGAUUUUUGGAGCAGAAAUAUGCGGCACAGAUGUUGGUUUCAAGAUGAGACACAUUCCCACGAAACGAGCCGACGUUUACGUUUGAAAACAGGAAGUGAGCUGGAAUUUACAGUCAUCGUUUCAACACCUCGCUUUGUAAAUCUGAGCGCUGGAGUCCAUCCAGAAGGCGCUUGUUUCAGUUUGUCCUUUUUUGUUGUUGCUCUGAUUUAUGCUCGUUUACUGACGGCCCAAAGAAACCAUCACGUUCUGAUGUGGUUGUUUUGAUGCUUUCGUGCCGCUUCGUUCGGAGGAACAGACUCCAACAGAGGAGCGACCCGGACAGAGCUGGAGGAUUCAGGACGGGAUCUUUCUGAGGGCAGCCCGAGGAUCCGGAGGACGCGACGGAAGCCGAGGAGAGACUCCGACUGCGGUCUGGUUGUAAUUAGGGAUAAACAGAGCGGACGCCAGCAGGGAGCAGACGCACAUUCCUGUGGGCGGCGAACACCGGAGCCGGGUCGAGUCUAGGUGAAUGAGC
rnacentral:lncRNA from 1 species